rnacentral:SRP_RNA from 1 species
GCCGGGUGCGGUGGCGCAGGCUGUAGUCCCAGCUAUUCGGGAGGCUGAGGCUGGAGGAUCUCUUGAGUCCAGGAGCUCUGGGCUGUAGUGUGCUAUGCCAAUCGCGUGUCCACACUAAGUUCAGCAUCAAUAUGGUGACCUCCCAGGAGCAGGGAACCACCAGGUUGCCUAAGGAGGGAUGAACCGGCCCAGGUUGGAAACAGAGCAGGUCAAAACUCCCGUGAUGAUCAGUAGUGGGAUCGCGCCUGUGAAUAGCCACUGCACUCCGGCCUGGGCAACAUAGCGAGACCCUGUCUCU